ensembl:lncRNA
CGCGCAGCCGCCGCCAGAGCCAGGAGAGGCGGAAUCUCGCCGGCGCCGCUCCCUGCGCGGGACUCGCGGAGGGCCACUGGGCAUGCUCAGUCGCCGGAGCCCGUGCUGGUCUAAGUAGGAAGCUCGCGCGCUGUUCCUGCAGCUGAUCCGGGCGCGCCGGGGAGGGGAGGACCAGAGCCGAACGAGGCGAUUGCCGCGCGCACCGCCGGGGUCAAACUCAGGACCGUGUGCUUUCGAGGCAGGCCGUGGCACCGCUGAGCUAAAUCCCUGGCCCAGACCUCACAUUCUUACAUUGGCAUGAGGGGGAAGCCGGAAGUUGCACGGUGUCAGACCUGGUGAGUAAAGUAGAUGAGGAUAUGCUGUAAUGUUUUUAUUUGACAGAUAACUGCUGUAAAUAUUUUGAAUCUGUUCAGGCCAUUGAAGCAACCAUGAAAAGAUACUCAUGAGAGAUGACUGUCCUUCAGGAAACUGGCAUCAGGAUGGGGUUGAACUACAGGACACCCAAUUUGAGUUGAAAUUGGAGAGUCACAGAUAGCCCACAUAACAUUCCUGAGAGAUGGGUGCUCUUCGGACCCUAAUGUGCAGGGAGGAAACAGAUAAGUGAUGCUGCACUGCUAAAAAUGGUUCUGGGACUUCUGGAUUCCAAAUUUCAAACCGUCUCCUCUACAUAGUUGUCUUGUAAAUAUCUCAGAUAGGCAAAUUAAAAAAAUCAGUUUUGUUGUAGGAGAAGUGUUAGAGAGUCAUUGUUUUGGGGAAGGGGCUUAUUACAUUCAUGGUGAAACUCUGAAAAUGGAGCUGAAGGGAAAAUACACUCACUUAAAAUCCUCUGUAAAAUAAAAAAUUGAAGGAAAUGAAAAUGCAGAAAUACUCCUAGAAGCUGGACAGUAUGUUAGCCUUGAUAUGUACAUAAAUGCCUGGAUAUAAUUUAGCCCCCUAUAAAAGCCAUGUUUUGAGAGAUUGCUUAGGAAUAGUUCUAAGCAUCUAAAUUUGAACCCUCUGCUGAUUUUAAAAACAUGUGGG